GAUGAACGCUAGCGGCGGGCCUAACACAUGCAAGUCGAGGGAUAAGCCUUCGGGCUGACUCCUCUGCACGGGUGCGUAACCCGUAUACAAUCUGCCUUUCACCUUACGUUAGCCCGGGGAAUUUUUUCUUAAUACCUGAUCGUAUAUCAGAGUGUCAUCUUUUUUAUAUUAAUGCUUUGGUGGUGAAAGAUGUGUAUGCGUUCUAUUAGCUAUUUGGAGAGGUAUCGGCUCCGCAAGGCGACGAUAGAUAGGGGUUCUGAGAGGGAUGUCCCCCAGACUGGUACUGAGAUACGGACCAGACUCGGACGGGAGGCAGCAGUGAGGAAUAUUGGACAAGGGACGGAAGACGUAUCAAGCCAUGCCGGGUGCAGGACGACGGUCCUAGGGAUUGUAAACUGCUUUGGUAAGGGAAGAAUAAGGAGUACGUGGACUUUGAUGACGGUACCUUACGAAUAAGCAUCGGCUAACUCCGUG
rnacentral:rRNA from 1 species